UGGGGAAUAUUGGACAAUGGGCGAAAGCCUGAUCCAGCAAUGCCGCGUGAGUGAUGAAGGCCUUCGGGUUGUAAAGCUCUUUUGGUAGGGAAAAUAAUGAUGGUACCUACAGAAUAAGCUCCGGCUAACUUCGUGCCAGCAGCCGCGGUAAUACGAAGGGAGCUAGCGUUGUUCGGAAUUACUGGGCGUAAAGAGUACGUAGGCUGUUUUUUAAGUUAGGCGUGAAAGCCCCGGGCUCAACCCGGGAAUUGCGCUUAAGACUGAAAAACUAGAGAUUGGGAGAGGAAAGUGGAAUAACUAGUGUAGAGGUGAAAUUCGUAGAUAUUAGUUAGAACACCAGUGGCGAAGGCGACUUUCUGGACCAAUACUGACGCUGAGGUACGAAAGCGUGGGGAGCAAA
rnacentral:rRNA from 1 species